rnacentral:rRNA from 1 species
CCUACGGGUGGCAGCAGUAGGGAAUAUUGCUCAAUGGGGGAAACUCUGAAGCAGCAACGCCGCGUGGAGGAUGAAGGUUUUAGGAUUGUAAAAUCCUUUUGUGAGAGAAGAUAAUGACGGUAUCUCACGAAUAAGCACCGGCUAACUCCGUGCCAGCAGCCGCGGUAAUACGGAGGGUGCAAGCGUUACUCGGAAUUACUGGGCGUAAAGAGUGCGCAGGCGGGUUUGUAAGUCAGAUGUGAAAUCCUGUAGCUUAACUACAGAAUUGCAUUUGAAACUAUUAGUCUAGAGUGUAGGAGAGGUAGGUGGAAUUCUUGGUGUAGGGGUGAAAUGCGUAGAUAUCAAGAAGAACACUCAUUGCGAAGGCGACCUACUGGAACAUUACUGACGCUCAUGCUCGAAAGCGUGGGGAGCAAACAGGAGUAGAUACCCGAGUAGUC